UUCGCCCUUAGAGUUUGAUCCUGGCUCAGGACGAACGCUGGCGGCGCGCCUAACACAUGCAAGUCGAACGAGCGAGAGAGAGCUUGCUUUCUCGAGCGAGUGGCGAACGGGUGAGUAACGCGUGAGGAACCUGCCUCAAAGAGGGGGACAACAGUUGGAAACGACUGCUAAUACCGCAUAAGCCCACGGCUCGGCAUCGAGCAGAGGGAAAAGGAGCAAUCCGCUUUGAGAUGGCCUCGCGUCCGAUUAGCUAGUUGGUGAGGUAAUGGCCCACCAAGGCAACGAUCGGUAGCCGGACUGAGAGGUUGAACGGCCACAUUGGGACUGAGACACGGCCCAGACUCCUACGGGAGGCAGCAGUGGGGAAUAUUGCACAAUGGGGGAAACCCUGAUGCAGCGACGCCGCGUGGAGGAAGAAGGUCUUCGGAUUGUAAACUCCUGUUGUUGAGGAAGAUAAUGACGGUACUCAACAAGGAAGUGACGGCUAACUACGUGCCAGCAGCCGCGGUAAAACGUAGGUCACAAGCGUUGUCCGGAAUUACUGGGUGUAAAGGGAGCGCAGGCGGGAAGACAAGUUGGAAGUGAAAUCUAUGGGCUCAACCCAUAAACUGCUUUCAAAACUGUUUUUCUUGAGUAGUGCAGAGGUAGGCGGAAUUCCCGGUGUAGCGCUGGAAUGCGUAGAUAUCGGGAGGAACACCAGUGGCGAAGGCGGCCUACUGGGCACCAACUGACGCUGAGGCUCGAAAGUGUGGGUAGCAAACAGGAUUAGAUACCCUGGUAGUCCACACCGUAAACGAUGAUUACUAGGUGUUGGAGGAUUGACCCCUUCAGUGCCGCAGUUAACACAAUAAGUAAUCCACCUGGGGAGUACGACCGCAAGGUUGAAACUCAAAGGAAUUGACGGGGGCCCGCACAAGCAGUGGAGUAUGUGGUUUAAUUCGACGCAACGCGAAGAACCUUACCAAGUCUUGACAUCCUGCGACGAUGCUGGAAACAGUAUUUUCCUUCGGGACGCAGAGACAGGUGGUGCAUGGUUGUCGUCAGCUCGUGUCGUGAGAUGUUGGGUUAAGUCCCGCAACGAGCGCAACCCUUACUGUCAGUUACUACGCAAGAGGACUCUGGCAGGACUGCCGUUGACAAAACGGAGGAAGGUGGGGAUGACGUCAAAUCAUCAUGCCCUUUAUGACUUGGGCUACACACGUACUACAAUGGCGUUAAACAAAGAGAAGCAAGACCGCGAGGUGGAGCAAAACUCAGAAACAACGUCCCAGUUCGGACUGCAGGCUGCAACUCGCCUGCACGAAGUCGGAAUUGCUAGUAAUCGUGGAUCAGCAUGCCACGGUGAAUACGUUCCCGGGCCUUGCACACACCGCCCGUCA
rnacentral:rRNA from 1 species